UCCAACUCCUGGGCUCAAGUGAUUCUCCUGACUACAGGAAGUCCCAGCCGGAAACACAGAAAGGAUAUGGAGAAAAUUAUUAUUCUGCCCCUACAGUUUCGGUGACCCAGAUGGGAUCUCUGGGACACCCUGCCUGCUCUACAAUUGGGAUCCCUGGAAAAGUGACAGAAUCUGGCAACAGAUGAGUAAGAAAGGUCACUUCCUGGCAGACCUCAGGUAUAUUGGGGACAUCAAGAAAAGAAUAAUUCAUCAAAGUCUACAGAUAUUGCAGGCAAAGUUGAAACAAGCCAGACAAGUUCUCUUUGUAUUCUUGAGAGACUUGGAAAGUCUAACCUGAGAUUCCUUAUUAAAAGUUCCAGCAAAACAGA
ensembl:lncRNA IKBKB-DT IKBKB divergent transcript